AACUGGAUUCAAAUUCAGGCCUCAGCAUUUACUAAAUGUCACAUCAGUUAAAUUUUCCUGUCUUACCAUCUGUAAAAUAACAUCUCAAAGGCUAGUGUAUGUAUUUAUUAUUUUAUUUUAUUCUAUUUUGGUUUUUUGAGAUAGGGUUUCUCUACGUAUCUUUGGGUGUCCUGGAACUCACUCUGUGGACCAGGCCGGCUUGGAAAUUGGAGACCCACCUGCCUCUGCCUCCUGAGAGACAUAUGCAGCAGUGUUGUGGGAACAAGCUAAGGACAGCAGACAGAGUUUUGGCACUUCUCUCCCAGAAGAAAAACUUAAUGACUUCCGUGAUGAGCAGAUUGGUCAGUUGCAAGAACUGAUGCAGGAAGCUACUAAACCCAAUCAGCAGUUUAGCAUCACUGAAUCUUCAGAACCAAAAUUGUGAUACAGUGAUCCUCAGAAAGCCUCUCACCUCACCUCUCAGUGGCUCUUUGAAGUAUAGCCUUUCAGCUUUAAUGGUAUAGUUCCUUAUUCAUGGACAGUAUGAAUGAUAUACGAAUCAAGAUCAC